rnacentral:rRNA from 1 species
GACGAACGCUGGCGGCGUGCUUAACACAUGCAAGUCGAACGGAAAGGCCCUGCUUUUGUGGGGUGCUCGAGUGGCGAACGGGUGAGUAACACGUGAGUAACCUGCCCUUGACUUUGGGAUAACUUCAGGAAACUGGGGCUAAUACCGGAUAGGAGCUCCUGCUGCAUGGUGGGGGUUGGAAAGUUUCGGCGGUUGGGGAUGGACUCGCGGCUUAUCAGCUUGUUGGUGGGGUAGUGGCUUACCAAGGCUUUGACGGGUAGCCGGCCUGAGAGGGUGACCGGCCACAUUGGGACUGAGAUACGGCCAAGACUACUACGGGAGGCAGCAGUGGGGAAUAUUGCACAAUGGGCGGGAGCCUGAUGCAGCAACGCCGCGUGCGGGAUGACGGCCUUCGGGUUGUAAACCGCUUUCGCCUGUGACGAAGCGUGAGUGACGGUAAUGGGUAAAGAAGCACCGGCUAACUACGUG